rnacentral:rRNA from 1 species
UACGUAGGGUGCGAGCGUUGUCCGGAAUUACUGGGCGUAAAGGGCUCGUAGGCGGUUAGUCACGUCGGGAGUGAAAACUCAGGGCUCAACCCUGAGCGUGCUUCCGAUACGGGCUGACUAGAGGUAUGCAGGGGAGAACGGAAUUCCUGGUGUAGCGGUGGAAUGCGCAGAUAUCAGGAGGAACACCGGUGGCGAAGGCGGUUCUCUGGGCAUUACCUGACGCUGAGGAGCGAAAGCAUGGGGAGCGAACAGG